rnacentral:misc_RNA from 1 species
UCUAGAGUUCGCAUGAAAGUCACGCGUCCACACUUAUCGGCAUGUUAAUCAAGAAAAGAACAGUCAUUUAGGCCGGCAGUUGGCAGGCAAUAGCAAGUCGUCUGUCGGUGGGUAGGCCAGGUACUGAUCCAAACGGGUCUGUAGCUCAGUUGGUUAGAGCACCGUGUUGAUAACGCGGGGGUCGUUGGUUCGAGCCCAACCAGACCCACCAUCAAGUUUCGGGGGUUUAGCUCAGCUGGGAGAGCACCUGCUUUGCAAGCAGGGGGUCGUCGGUUCGAUCCCGUCAACCUCCACCAAGAAAUGUCAAACCUAAAUCGGCCAUGCGAAUGGCGUGAUUUAGGUUUGAUCUUUUAAAAAGAUCAUUGGCUGUUUCGUUCUUUAACAAUCUGGAAGAAGUAAAGAUUUAUCAGUUCAGGCUGAUGCGUUUGUGAUGAGCGCGUUGGAAUGAACUGGUGGGUUGUGAUUGUAUCAAUCAUAAAAGUAUGUGAAGUGAUCUCAAGUAGUAAUGAAGACCGCUUUGGAUACGGCAAACGCAACAUACUCAGUAAUAUCUAUAACGUUUCUGGUUGUCAGCCAGAAGCUAGCGUUAUAGGGACAAGUGAAUAAGUGCACAUGGUGGAUGCCUUGGCGACUACAGGCGAUGAAGGACGUUGCAGCCUGCGAUAAGCCACGGGGAGCUGGCAAGCGAGCUUUGAUCCGUGGAUUU